rnacentral:rRNA from 1 species
GAUGAACGCUAGCGGCAGGCUUAACACAUGCAAGUCGAGGGGUAUUGGGAGCUUGCUCCCAAGAGACCGGCGCACGGGUGCGUAACGCGUAUGCAACCUACCUUGAACAGGGGGAUAGCCCAGAGAAAUUUGGAUUAAUACCCACUGGCAUAUUUGGAUGGCAUCAUCCGAUUAUUAAAGUCACAACGGUUCAAGAUGGGCAUGCGUCCCAUUAGCUUGNGGUAAGGUAACGGCUUACCAAGGCUACGAUGGGUAGGGGUCCUGAGAGGGAGAUCCCCCACCACUGGUACUGAGACACGGACCAGACUCCUACGGGA